AUAUAAACCUGAUAAAGCCAAAUAGCUCCCGAUUUCUUUUUUAAAAUCGGGACUAUGGGCGAUAGCGGGACCGCUG
rnacentral:sRNA from 1 species